rnacentral:rRNA from 1 species
GCAAGUCGAACGAACCUUUUGGAGGUUAGUGGCGGACGGGUGAGUAACGCGUGAGGAUCUGCCUAAAGGACCGGGACAACAGUGGGAAACCGCUGCUAAAACCGGAUGUGCCGAGAGGUGAAAUAUUUAUAGCCUUUAGAUGAACUCGCGUCUGAUUAGCUAGUUGGGAGUGUAAUGGACUCCCAAGGCGACGAUCAGUAGCUGGUCUGAGAGGACGAUC